AGCUGCCUGUGCUUCCAUUAUCCGUUUAUGGUGCGGUUGCAAUGGCUCAUAGUGAUGUAUCGGAGGAGUUAUCAUCACCAAGCCAGUUCUUCUUUUAUCUUUACGAUAAGAGAAAUUCUGGCUUGGGAGGUUUGUCAUUUGAGGAGGGUCAAUUUUCAGUUUUCGGAUAUACAACUAUCGGGUAGAGAUAUCC